AUUGAACGCUGGCGGAAUGCUUUACACAUGCAAGUCGAACGAUGAAGCCUAGCUUGCUAGGUCGAUUAGUGGCGAACGGGUGAGUAAUAUAUCGGAACGUAUCCAAUAAUGGGGGAUAACUAGUCGAAAGAUUGGCUAAUACCGCAUACGUCCUACGAGAGAAAGCUGGGGAUCGUAAGACCUGGCGUUAAUGGAGCGGCCGAGAUCUGAUUAGCUAGUUGGUGAGGUAAAGGCUCACCAAGGCGACGAUCAGUAGCUGGUCUGAGAGGACGACCAGCCACACUGGAACUGAGACACGGUCCAGACUCCUACGGGAGGCAGCAGUGGGGAAUUUUGGACAAAGGGCGAAAGCCUGAUCCAGCCAUUCCGCGUGAGUGAAGAAGGCCUUCGGGUUGUAAAGCUCUUUCGCAAGGGAAGAACACUUACUUAAUAACACUAAGUGAGGUUGACGGUACCUUGAUAAGAAGCACCGGCUAACUACGUGCCAGCCGCCGCCGUAACAC
rnacentral:rRNA from 1 species